AGGGCCUGACGGUUGCUAGGGUGACAGGGACACAACAUGGCGGCGGGAUCUCUAACGCUCUCCUUCGAGGGACCACCACGGAGAUCCUAGUGCGGGACCCCGCCUCAGGGAAGUGGAAAGCAGGGGGACAACCUUCCUGCUUCUUUCUUUUCCGUCCAGUGUCGGCAAGGGGUUGUCACCGGCUUCCGCAUCCAAGAUGAAGAACUAUAAAGCAAUUGGCAAAAUAGGAGAGGGAACGUUUUCUGAAGUUAUGAAGAUGCAAAGCCUGAGAGAUGGAAACUACUAUGCAUGUAAACAAAUGAAGCAGCGCUUUGAAAGUAUUGAGCAAGUCAACAACCUACGAGAGAUCCAAGCACUGAGGCGCCUGAAUCCGCACCCAAACAUUCUUAUGUUGCAUGAAGUGGUUUUUGACAGAAAAUCUGGUUCUCUUGCACUAAUAUGUGAACUUAUGGACAUGAAUAUUUAUGAGCUAAUACGAGGGAGAAGAUACCCAUUAUCAGAAAAAAAAAUUAUGCACUAUAUGUACCAGUUAUGUAAGUCCCUGGAUCAUAUUCACAGAAAUGGAAUAUUUCACAGAGAUGUAAAACCAGAAAAUAUACUAAUAAAGCAGGAUGUCCUGAAAUUAGGGGACUUUGGCUCCUGCCGGAGUGUCUAUUCCAAGCAGCCGUACACGGAAUACAUCUCCACCCGCUGGUACCGGGCCCCGGAGUGUCUCCUCACUGAUGGGUUCUACACGUACAAGAUGGACCUGUGGAGCGCCGGCUGUGUGUUCUACGAGAUCGCCAGUCUGCAGCCCCUCUUUCCUGGAGUAAAUGAACUGGACCAAAUCUCAAAAAUCCACGAUGUCAUCGGCACACCCGCUCAGAAGAUCCUCACCAAGUUCAAACAGUCGAGAGCUAUGAAUUUUGAUUUUCCUUUUAAAAAGGGAUCAGGAAUACCUCUACUAACAACCAAUUUGUCCCCACAAUGCCUCUCCCUCCUGCACGCAAUGGUGGCCUAUGAUCCCGAUGAGAGAAUCGCCGCCCACCAGGCCCUGCAGCACCCCUACUUCCAAGAACAGAGGAAAACAGAGAAGCGGGCUCUGGGCAGCCACAGAAAAGCUGGCUUUCCGGAGCACCCUGUGGCACCGGAACCACUCAGUAACAGCUGCCAGAUUUCCAAGGAGGGCAGAAAGCAGAAGACUCACUCCAUAGUUCAUGGCCCCGUGAUCCAGAGUCCCUGCUGGCGCCUUCGAGUGGGGCAGGCUGAGAACUCAAGCUGUAACUAAUGUCUCCUCCGAAGAAAACUAAACCGAGGGCUGAGCUGAUGUGAAGUUUUCCGUGGCUGCAUUCAUACAAAUGGCUUUCAAUGACGAAAGGAGGACUCGGAGUUGUAUGGAAACGUGAUCCUGAAGCCCUGUGCAGACGUGCAGCUGCCCACAGUGGCCACAGACAGCUGAGGCUGUGAGGCGACCACAGAGCCCACGCCCUCCUGAGCCAUAUUCUUGAACAGCCCAUCUCAAGUGUGACUGCCCCAAAAGACCGGUUUAAAAUGGAAACAACUUCUUUGGGUGAGCAGCGGGAGCACGGCGCCGCAGAGUGAGCCGGUCACCGUCCACACGGCUAUCGCCGACGUCCACCGCCUGAGGUCCGCCGGCUGGCACGGCUCAGGCGCAGCUCGGAGCUCCUCCUCGUCACUCCCUCGAGUCCAAGUCCCGGGAGACUGUGCGCGCAGCAGUGAGGUCGCUACACUACAGUUCCACCUGGAGAACUGGCCUGGCUUGGGGAUGACAAUGAGCCCUGCAAACAAAGCAGUCUACAUUAAUCCAGCAAAACACCGGACGGGCAACAGCCACCAUGCGCGCCCUCCGCCAGCAGCUCCACGUGGUCAAAACUGGUGCUGUUGAUGUGGAAGCCAGUGUGGGAGCAAACCCUCCACUUCAUCUAUUUAAUUCCUAUCCAGAUCACUGCGUUCCAUUCCUAGAGAAUUGGAACCCUGCUGGGUGCAAUACUGUGGCCUCAAUACCGUCCAAGAGAAGGGCGGGCAGGGCUGGCCUUGCCCUUGGGGGAGACAGUGGUUUCUCAGCACCUGAGAACAGGUUCUUUGGAGCUUUGCUGACCCAAAGGUGCAGGUGCCUCGUGGGAGGUGUUCAGCGCCUUCAGCCAGGGUUGAGCCCAGGGCACCGCAGUUCUGGACCGCACACCCAGUCCCUCGGAGCCAGGGGUUGUCUCCAAGGAUAGAGUUCAGUGGCACCUUUGAAAGGGCAUUCUCUGCUGGGGGGUUCUUGCUUUGUUGGGUGGUGUGACCGUGGCACCCCCUGGCUGUAGCUGUCCACAUGUGUAGGCCCCACAGGUAGAGACAGCAGGGCCCAGGCCGAGGUCGGGGGAGCCCCAGAACAAAGUAGUCUUGCCGUGAGGCUGCAGCUGGGUGUGGAGAAGGGAUGUGGGGGCCAACCCACCAGGGCCAGCAGGAAGAAUGGUGGGGGGCAUCUGGCUCUUUAGGGCGGCUCCUGCUGAGAGGCUCACUGUCGGGGGCGGGGGCGGGGAAUCUCACCCAGAUUUUACAAUACUGGUGUGACCUUGGGUAAACCUAAGAGGGUUUAACCUCCUACACAGCAAAGAGUACUUCCAUUUCUUUGCAUUUACUAUUGAGCAGCAAUUACAUUACAUCAAAGUGUGGCGUUCAUUUAUGAAGAACAUUAAGAUGGCGACAGUGCAGCCCCAAAGGUGCACAUUUUCAGCUCUGGGAAUACAACUUAGCUGUCAUGGAAGAAGGCUUCAGCUGAUGAGUACUGUUUACAAAUGACAAGCCUUUAACUCAAGCUGACAUUGCUACCUUCUCACAUAUUGGACUUGUGUGGACACAAAUGAAGGUGACAAUCGGAAACUGCCCUUCAGCCUCGCCCACGCCCUGCUGCCGGAAGCCUGGAAGCAAGCUGUCCCGCUCAAGUCAUUUCAUCCCGUUUCUUACCUUCCACCUGAAAUCUGUUCACCUAGACAAGCUCAGGAAGCAAACGGAAUGUGGCAGCUGCCCCUGCUCAGAGUCUAUAGGAGUGCUUUUCCUCUGGGACCCCUGAAAAGGGACAGAACCCUGUUUGUACUUGUGGAGGACCCCGCAAACGCCCCAUACUUCUGGCUCAAACACAUCAAGCCUGUGGAGGAAAGCUGGGCAGCAGGUUCCUGACCCCACUUCUGCCGCAGACAGUCUGGAGGAAGGAAGCCUCUCACACAGGACACUCUGCCUUCAUCACCACGCGCACCCUAAGAAAGUGCUUUCCACAAGCUAUGUGGUGUCCAGGAAGUGACAAAUCUCCAGAACCAGGAGGCACCUCCCUUCCCCCCGGCAACAGAAAAGUCAUCUACUCCUGGCAGAGGGAGAAAGUGGUGGUGACCCAGCCUGGGGACAGACGGAGAGGGGCCACCCUCAUCUGGCAGCCACAGAGUCUCCCUCCCCUUUCACGGAGUGCCAGGUGGAGGUGAGUGCUGCUCCAGGUAGGAGGCAGCCCCACCCACAGGAAGGUGGUGUCUCUACCAGUCCUGUGUUAAGUUUAGCUUCCCGGGAGCACGUUUAACAACUUAAAAACAAGUGACAGCCAGCCCUGUGGGAGGCUGAGGUGGGGAGAUUACUUGAGCCCAGGAGUCUGAGACCAGCCUGGCCAACAUGGUGAAACUCCAUCUCUACUAAUACAAAAUUAGCCGGGUGUGGUGGCGCACGGCUGUCAUCCCAGCUACUCAGGAGGCUGUGUGGCAGGAGGAUGGCUUGAGCCCAGGAGAUGCAGGGUGCAAUGAGCCGCGAUCCACUGCACUCCAGCCUGGGGGAUAGAGCAAGACCCUGUCUCAAAAAAUGAAAAGAUAGAUAAUAAAAACAAGUGACAUUAAUUUUAAUAUUUUCUUUUUUUUUUUUUUUUUUGAGACGGAGUCUCACUUUGUUGUCCAGGCUGGAGUGCAGUGGCACGAUCUUGGCUCACUGCAAGCUCCACCUCCUGGGUUCAAGUGAUUCUCCUGCCUCAGCCUCCCAAGUACCUUGGACUACAGGCGCCUGCCACCACGCCCAGCUAACUUUUUGUAGUUUUAGUAGAGAUGGGGUUUCACUGUUAGGAUGGUCUUGAAGACCUCCUGACCUCGUGAUCCACCUGCCUUGGCCUCCCAAAGUGCUGGGAUUACAGGCGUGAGCCACCGCACCUGGCCAAUUUUAAUAUUUUAACUGAAGAUGUUUCAUAUAAUAUUCAGCAAUAUAAAAAUUACUAAUGACUUUUUUGGUAAGAAGCCUUUGAGGUGUGCUGUGUGGUUGACACGUUAUGGCACUUUUCAGGUUGGACUGGCCCCAAUUUACAUACUUAGUGGCUGCAGGUGGCUUCUGACGGCCAUGAGGGACAGCACCCUUCCUUAGACUUCCUCUCACUGAGUGUGAGGCCCCAGAGGACUCGGCUGCUUUCCAUCACUCCCAGGGGAGGGCGGCUGCUGAGACGCAGAGGUGGCGCAGCCACCAGGCUGCCAGAGCCUGAUGUUGAGGGACACGCUGCUUCCGCCAGCUGGUCCCUACAAAGCCGCACCCCUAGAAAGCGACCCAACGCGAGGGCUGCAGGCUUCCUAUUCUCCCAUUAGCACAAAACAAAUGCACACUCAUUCUCCAGUUUCUGCUGGCUAACGCCUUGAUGCCAAUUGUGGUGGCAGCUAGGAGCCAACUAGAACCACCUUCAUGCCCUCCACUGUCCCACUCUCCACUGGGCCCAGCUUCCAGAGAGAUCUUGAAUCAACCGCCCUCAAACCUGUCCUCCUCUCGUCUUCUGUAGUCCAUACUGGCAUAACGGAACUGGGGGUUCCCGUUAGCAGGCUUCGCCCUUUUGAUGGCAGCCCUGGUUAACAGUUCUUUUAGAAUGCAUCGCCAUGCAGAGAAUGUGCCCAUGAUCAAAACUCAGGGUCCCCAUGCUGCAGCACUCAGGAAGCACGUUGGCCACCGGUGAAAAACCCAAGAGGACCCCAGGGUGCUUGACCAGGGACUCCCUGGAGCCCGCCCGUCAGAGCAAAGGGGAAAACGGUGGUCUCUAAGAGGAGUUAACCGGAAGGCGAAGCGAAGGCCCAAAGGGCCCGGCCUCCAGUUCUCCAGCAGUGACCCCAGCAAGCCCCAGGAGACAGUCCUGCAGGCACAAGCCCUGGAGUGUGCUGGGCCUGCUGUGGCCCUGCGUUGGCAUCAGUGCCAGGCAUGCCCAGAAGCAGGGGGUGCGACACAGCACUCCGGGUGGCAGGGAAGGGGCCUCGGCGCCCUGCAUGCCGCUGAGGACUUGUGCGAGUCACUGGACCCUUCAUCUUGGCACCUGUCACUUGCUGGAGAUGGACUCACUUUGCCGUGGUGAACACUGGAGGCAACAGGAGGAAAAAGCGCCAUUCAAAAGAGAAUCAAAUGAAAAAAGUCACCUUGUUUCUAUCUGCCUGUGAUUCAGUCUAAAGAUUAUCAGGUGGUAGAAGAGGAAGACGAGAAACAGACACCUAGGCCCCCAUGGAAGGAUCCCGGCUGCAGCUUCCCUCGAGAGCACAGCGUGGGGGAUCCACUGCCCAAAUGGUCAUCCGUGUCAAACUCCCGGUGACAGGGACCCUGCUGCCCCAAUCCGCCUGCUCUUCAGGGAGGGAGUGGGGUUUUACCCUGUCCUUCUGCUUCCUUUUCAUGGGAGAAAAGGGGCAAGGCCCGGCCCGGCCGACGGAGGACCUGGCAAGGGGAGCCCGCCCACGCUUCACCUGUGCUCAGCAGCGUGCGGGAGCUGCUGGGCUGUGCACCAGAAGCAGGACAGCUGGCAAUUCCAGGCUUUACCAGUUGCCAUCAGGCAAAGGAGCUCCCCAGGCAGAAUCUGCACGGCGUCCCAUCAGCCCCCACACCGUGAGAGGAACGGGGCAAGCCUUGGCUCUAAUAUUAGUCAGCUGCUUGGCUCCCCGCAGAGUCACUGUUUUAUUCCCGCUAGAGACUUCAGUUCAAAAUUAAGUGAUAAAAAAAUACUCCAGCUCUUGGUUUGGGUUUGAUUCUAAUUUAUAAUACUAAGUUAAGAGAAUUACACCUUGUUGCACCAGAAUAUAUAUGAAAAAUAUUUUGGUUCAAAACAAUUUACAAUAAAGCAGCAAGGCCAUGUUCCUGCCCCUGCAGGUGCUGCUCGGACUGGAGAUUCUGACAGCCAGAUAGGACUGUGAGGGCCACAGGCCACGUCAGAGAAAGGACAUGUCCUGAAGCUCUGUCAGGCCUGGACGGUCUCCUAGCUCUGGGUUCUGGGAGGGCUUCCCCUUCUGACCCCCACGACCCCUGGCCUGUGAGUGUCAGAGAAGACAGAACCUCAAGGAGACAGCUGUGGGAUGUGGAUGAGAGUGUGGGCUGGGCGCCAGCUCAUCCCUCAUCCACCUGGGACUGUUCAAUACCCUCUCUGGUCAUUCAACCCCCAAGGUCACCCUUUCCAACCCAAACAAAAGUAAGACGCACACAGGCCCUGGGACCCGUUUCAUGGCAGGCACGCGGGCGGGCAGACUAGCGCUUCUCUCCUGAGAUCGUGGACAAAGUACCACAAGACAGAAUCUGGUUCUACACAGCCACAACAUCCGGGAGCUUGGUGCCAGCUGGCCGGCGUGCUGUGGAGGUCACCUCCACUGGCGUCCCCCAGAGGGAGAAGGCCAGCCUUGGCCCUGCACGUAGCCCCUGAGGCUCCAAUGCUGGCCUCUGUGGCAGGUGCUCCUGGCAGAAUCUCACCCUGGGGAGAACACGAGUUAAAUGUUAUUUGCAAAGCGACACCUUUUUAGAGACGGUGCGGAAACGAUGAGAACUAUGACCAGGCUAGCCUGCUCUCAGAACCAAGACUUCCAGCUCUGAACACACUCCUUAACUGCUCACGUGCAAGACUCCCACCAUUCUCACUACACAGACCACAACAGAAAGGAACCAAAGCAAACCUGGAGAAAGCAGCCAUGGUUUAUUCACGGCACCCGAAGCCAGUCUCUACAUCACACAAGCGGCACGUGAGCCACAGAGCCGGGAACCCUGGGCCCAGCCCAGGGACGUCGGGACCCAUCUCUGCCCCAGACUUGCCGUGCAGUUUGGCUUGGGACCUCAGUUAUAGCUGGGCAGUGGACCACGUACCUCUGCCAGCUUUAACCUGUCCACUGACAGGUGACAGUGAGGGGCCACACUUGCCCAGAUGCCACUCAACCUGGCAUCUAAUGAGAAAAGCCACCCAGAGAAAAGGAUUGUACUCUUCAGACUUCCGGGGAAAGACCACGCAGAUGAAGGGCACGACCAUCUAAGGGCUCCGCUGCGAUCUGAAGGUGGAAGAAAAGCAUCAGAGAGAACGUGUGCAAGUCAGUGGGCCUUCAUCGUGAUCCCGUUCACUGAUGGAGACCAGCACCGGCCCGGGCUGUCACUGGAGGCCCUCCCGCUCCUGGGACCCACUUGGCCCUGCAAUCCUCUCUACUGUGUGGGGCAGGAAGAAGGGACCCCACUUAGUCUCCAUAAAGCCUUUCUAGCUUGAGUAACUUCAAAGAGGAUUUUGCUUAUGCUGCCCCCCACCUAAAAGGGGAGGCUGGUUUUGGAGGCCACUGACCCUGGAAGGGGUGGUAGGGAGCUGAGAGCCUCUAGAUGGUCCAUUCGUCUCCAGAGACCCCUGGGUUCAGAAUCCAUUAAUUCUGACAGGCAGCCACACAUGGAGAAAUGGCUAUUUUUUUUCUUUAAGACAGAGUCUCGCUCUGUCGCCCAGGCUGGAGUGCAGUGGCGCCAUCUCGACUCAUUGCAACCUCCACCUCCUGGGUUCAAGUGAUUUUCAUGGUGCCUCAGCCUUCCGAGUAGCUGGGACUACAGGCGCCCGCCACCACGCCCGGCUAAUUUUUGUAUUUUUAGUACAGAUGGGGGUUUGCCAUGAUGGCUGGGCUGGUCUCAAACUCCUGGGCUCAGGUGAUCCACCCGCCUCGGCCUCCCAAAGUGCUGGGAUUACAGGCAUGAGCCACCAUGCCCAGCUGAGAACUAGCUAUUUUUAUUUUUUUGAAGGUACAAACUAGCUAUUUUUAAAAGACCAAAAUGUCAUGGUUUUCUUAAAAAAACAAAACUUGCUGUCAACUUAAUAGUCUUUAGGGCUUAAAAUCUACUCAGUGCUAGCCUGGGCAACAUGGCAAGACCCUGUACCUACAGAAAUAAAAAUACACAAAAAUUAGCUGAGUUUGGUGGUGUGUGCCUAUGGUCCCAGUUACUCAAGAGGCCUAGAUGGGAGGAUCACUGAGCCCAGGAGGUCAAGGCUUCAGUGAGCCAUGUUCGGGCAACAGAGCGAGACCCUGUCUCAAAAAACACAAACCAAAACGCCCUGUUCAGUGCUAAGAACAGAGCCCUGUGCACUCUUGUGGCAGUCGUAGGCCCCAGGAGGCCGCUUUUGAGAGCUGUAGGUCUGAAUGUUCCCUCCGCUUUGACAGCCCAGACUCAAGACAAAAAGUGCAGAUAGUUCAGCACUGGAGGCUCUGCUGACCCCGCACUCCAGAGACAGCACCGUGGGAAGCUUCUGGGAGUUCCCCACCCGAUGAACGUGCUGGAGGCAGAGCACAGGGCUCAGCCGGCUGCCAACAUGCAGAGGCGGCUGAGUGGGACCUGGAUGUCUCAUGACACAGCAGGGAAGUGACAAUUAAAUGGGAGCACAAGGGCCUGAGGAAGGGCUGUGUCUGAGGCCAGCUCGCCCUCACUCAUCACACCUCAGGCAGGGGGGUAGGCCUGCGGGUGCCAGGGCGCUGCUCAGAUCAGCUACGUCGUCUGUCAAGAGUGAGGGAUGGUAUUUCAUAGUAAGACAAUGUAAAUCAUGAGUUCUUCUCAUCCCAAAUGGAACGUCCCCCACUGCCCUGUGUAGGAAGCGCUCUGCACCGACGACGGGCCUGGUGUCUACAGCAGGACAACCUCACGCCAGCACAAAGCCUUAAGCAAACACUAUUCAAGAUGAGGAGUAGGCAGACAAUGAACUCUAGCCAGGAAAAGAGCUCCUACUGAAAGCAGCCUACCUGGGGGCAAGGGGAGGGAGAGCAUAAGGAAAAAUACCUAAUGCAUGCGGGGCUUAAAACAUAGAUGACGGGUUGAUGGGCGCAACAAACCACCGUGGCACAUGCAUCCCUAUGUAACAAACCUGCACGUUCAGCACAUAUAUCCCAGAACUUACAGCAAAAUAAAAAAAAGCAAGCAGCCUACCAGCCGCUACCUUCUCCACUCUCCCAGCUGCUGGCUGGGUGGCUGGACAGAAUGUCGGAUGUCCAGCAUCCGGGAUAGUGAGUCCAUGUAACAAAAGCCAGCUCGUGGCCCAGGACGACUUCAGAAUGUCUGCAUUCUCAUUAAACAGAAGCCUCUACACAGCUCAGCCGAAACGCCAAUCAACAGUCCUUCUCCCGGACUGGAGUUGGCACAGAGGAGGACCACAUAAAACAGUAUCUGAGACGCAGAACAUUUCAUCGAGUACGCUGCCAACUAUGAGAAACAGUCAGCUUUAGUAAGAGGGAGCAAUUCCGGUGGCUGGCUGUUCUAUAAACAUUAACAAGGUCCUUAAUUUUACAGCAUUUAAAAACUUUUCUGGUUUUGGUUCACUGGGAUUUUUAAAGCUUAGAUGUGAAAAUGACUACUGAAAAUUAUCUACAUUUACAGUUCACUCACACACGUUUAUUUAAUGUCAGUAUACAGAGGACAGCCCCACAGUACUUCAGAAUAUCAAGUAUGUAGUAAGUCUUGUUAGCUGUGACAGUGACAAGGCAACAGCUAAAAAAAAAAACAAAGCAGUGAAACAAACAUGAUUUCCUUAAAAUUAUAAAACAAUACUGAUACUAAAGUUUCAUUAAUUAUUGCAACAGUAAAGAAUUUAAUUUACCAAUAUUUCAUGUUAGGAAGGCUCUUUAUGAAAUUUAUUCAAGUUGUCAAGAAAUUGGAUGAAAAUAUAAAAAAGGAAAUACAUGUGAAUUUUACUUUUGAUUUUCACUCAAAAUAUCCAUACAAUUUUAUACAGUGUCGCCUAACAUAACAAUCUCUAAUAAACUCAAGUAUACAGAAAUGA